rnacentral:rRNA from 1 species
UUGAACGCUGGCGGCAUGCCUUACACAUGCAAGUCGAACGGUAACGCGGGGCAACCUGGCGACGAGUGGCGAACGGGUGAGUAAUAUAUCGGAACAUACCCUAGAGUGGGGGAUAACGUAGCGAAAGUUACGCUAAUACCGCAUACGAACUAAGGUUGAAAGUGGGGGAUCGCAAGACCUCAUGCUCAUGGAGUGGCCGAUAUCUGAUUAGCUAGUUGGUGAGGUAAAGGCUCACCAAGGCGACGAUCAGUAGCUGGUUUGAGAGAACGACCAGCCACACUGGAACUGAGACACGGUCCAGACUCCUACGGGAGGCAGCAGUGGGGAAUUUUGGACAAUGGGGGCAACCCUGAUCCAGCAAUGCCGCGUGAGUGAAGAAGGCCUUCGGGUUGUAAAGCUCUUUUGUCAGGGAGGAAGGCACCGGCGCGAAUAGCGUUGGUGAUUGACGUAACCUGGAGAAGAAGCACCAGCUAACUCCGU